AUUGAACGCUGGCGGCAGGCUUAACACAUGCAAGUCGAGCGGAGCGAGGGUGCUUGCACCUUAGCUUAGCGGCGGACGGGUGAGUAAUGCUUAGGAAUCUGCCUAUUAGUGGGGGACAACAUUCCGAAAGGAAUGCUAAUACCGCAUACGCCCUACGGGGGAAAGCAGGGGAUCUUCGGACCUUGCGCUAAUAGAUGAGCCUAAGUCGGAUUAGCUAGUUGGUGGGGUAAAGGCCUACCAAGGCGAGGAUCUGUAGCGGGUCUGCGAGGAUGAUCCGCCACACUGGGACGGAGGCACGGCCCAGACUCCUACGGGAGGUAGCAGUGGGGAAUAUUGGACAAUGGGGGGAACCCUGAUCCAGCCAUGCCGCGUGUGUGAAGAAGGCCUUAUGGUUGUAAAGCACUUUAAGCGAGGAGGAGGCUACUUUAGUUAAUACCUAGAGAUAGUGGACGUUACUCGCAGAAUAAGCACCGGCUAACUCUGUGCCAGCCGCCGCGGUAA
rnacentral:rRNA from 1 species